AUCAAAACCCGAUACCGUUUCACCUUAUCUCCCUCUCUCUCUCUCUCUCUCUCUCUCUCUCUCUCUCUCUUGUCUUCAUCAUCUACGGCCAACCAUGGCCACCAUAGAUGAGCUCAGUGAAUCAAGUUCUAUCUUUUCCUGAUGCCAAAGAGCCACAAUAAGAAGUAAAAAAAAAGAUUCAAAUGCUUUGUCUAUUUCACCAGGCUGGCUACACCAGAUGAGAAGUCUAGAAGUUGGGAAUAUGGCUCUACUGGUACUACUACUACUACUACUAUGCUACCUUUACUUAUUUGUCUGUACAUAAAAACUUGCCGAUUGCAACUCUUUUCCAUUUCAUGUAUUUCAUGGUAAGGGAUUUUUCAGCAACAAGCAGCUAGAUCAGACAGCAAACAACAUCAAAGGUAUACUAACCACCUAGAAACUACUCCAGGAGCAAAAACUAAAGAUGAUAAAAUAAUGGACAUGAAGACUUGAAGAUGGAGAGCUAAUGAUAAAAUAAUUCAAUUACAUGAAAAUGUCUCCCAUCCAAUUUUUCAUACUUCUAAUUAUUGAACAAUAGUUGUUUUUUAAAAAAAAAAAUUAAGUAAAAGUUGCAUAAAGAGACAUCUUAUGCAUAUAUAACCAUUAGAAUUGCCUUGUUUUGUCAAGGAAAAUAAUAUUUGUGAUGUCAAAUGCUAACAGGAUUAUAUCAUUUCUUAAUUUAGACGAUCAAAUACAUGGCCUUAGUCAUCAUGUUAUUAA